CCUACUACACCUUUAAGACGUCGACACUGUGCGAAUUGGGAGUGGGUUUAUGUUCGACAGUAAAAUCACAACACUUCGCAAUGGGAAAACUGUGAAGAGGACCCUCUGCGCUGACCGCUAGUUAUAGAGAAGGUUUGAAAUAAUGUGCACUAAAAGGCUAUAUUGCCAUAAUAACUACGUCUGAAAACAAGGGUCUUGGUCUGCACACGUCAACACAUUUUGUGACAGUUUCCAGGGCUGACAUGUUUACGUUUUGAUUUGCCUCUAGAAUGUUGUAUUUUAAUCGUCUCUGACAUUUUACAGAAAUGUAUUCCCGAUCAGCAGGGACAUUGUGCUGCUAAAGUGUGAAAUAUGUUUACAGUUGAUUUUCUUGAGUUUUGUUAUCUACCACAUUCUCCAUUUUAACUCCGUCUUUAGCCAGCGACAACGAUAUUUAUCUCAUCGACAAGAAAAUAUCUGCCGGUAUCCUGCAUGUUGUACUGUUGUGGAAGCAAGGACAAGGAGAAGCAGCGCCCGGACGCUGCAAAGGUGUCGAGAAUUCUAGAGACAGAGACAGAGAAAAACCGAAAGAGCCAAGAAAGCGCACCUCAACCACUGGACAUGUACGGAAUAGCGGCAAUGCCCGAGCUUCUACCACCCUCUGGCGUCCUCCAGCCCAGCUCAGUAAUCCCACUCGAGUCGGGUGAGGUGCCUGGUUUGUGGAAUGGAUUCAACAGGGGUGUGCUGAGUUUUGACUCCCCCCAGCGGAGACGAGGCCAACGGGCCCCGAAGUUAGGGCAAAUAGGACGCUCGAAGAGAGUGGUUAUAGAGGAUGACGACUUGGAUGAUGUCAUGAAACACAAUGGCCUCCCCAUAUCAAUCAAUAUCUCUCCUGUUGCCUGAACAACUCUGAUAGUGUCCAGACCUCAAGAGGCUAUUGUGCUCAUUUGUGAAAUUCUGAAGUGUGUACCACUUGUUUCUGGACAAUGUCCAAUUCAGGUGCCCAUUGCAAAGUUUGCAAUAGUAGCAUGCGCAUCACAUGUAGUUUAGCUCUUCCUGGACACAGGAAGGUCAGUGUCCCAAGGAAAUAGAAGUAAAAAACAGUGCAUCUUUGCUUCAGCUGCUGUUCUGGUGUUGAUGGGGGGGACUUUGUGUCCUGAGGAGAGGGGAGCAAUUAGGAUAGAUUUGGGCCUGGACAGGCUGAAACAUAAGCACACAAGAGAAGGCCCUACCCAUCAAGACCUGCCCCUUCAAAAUGAGUGGACCUGUUUGUUUGUUGUUCAGUCUUUAGUGUCUAUAUUUUAAACACUCCAUCCAAGAUGUUAUUUUAAUUUGUGUCAAUCUCCUAUAUCUAAUUGAGAAAACAGCUACUCAUAGUGCUGGGCAGUGUUUUCACAAUAUUAUUUAUUUUACAUUAUGUACGCUUUUUCAGUGUUUCACAUAUGUUGACAACACUUAUUUUAGUUUUUGACAGUUGACAACACUGUCUCGUUUUGGUGCAAACUAAUUGUAAAAUCUGUUGUAAAACGUGUUAGAUAAACUGAAGGCUUUAAUUUGCCAUUGUAACGUCACAA